AACAGGUGGAGGAUCGAUGGCUAUCAUCGUUGGUGUAGUCGUGGCUCUCUUCUUUCUUGUCGCUCUCAUCGUUGCUGUUGUUGCUGGAAUUAUGGUCUGGAAGAAGAAGAACUCUGGCUUCAAACGUGCUCCAGCCUCUGAAGAGUCUUCCUCCACCAACUCUUAAAGCGUGACUGUGUCUUCCUGCUGAAGUGAGAGAGAGACACCAGUAUAUGGAGAUGAGGACCACACACACACACACACACG